GUUUUUGUGGUGUUAAGGUCAGCAUACCAGUGCCAUAAUCUGAAAAGCAAGGUUCGAUUCCCUGCGAAAGCA
rnacentral:tRNA from 1 species